CUGUCGGCUCAGAAGCGAAGUGCAGGCGCGCUGCUCUUCCGGUCCCUUCUGAGCUCAGCCACAGAAGCGAGAGCAGCUGCAUGCUAAGCGGAAGAGAAAACUAGGAGAAAACUUCGGAGUUUACCUGUGAAAAGGAAAAAAACAGUUGGAGCACUUACCCACUGGAGGUCCGGAGCCAAGUGACUGAACGAAGGAGAGAGUUACGUCGAGUGAAAGUAGCAGUUCCUCCUGAAGGUCAGCGAUUGCAGCAUCUGAGGGCCUCUUCAAAAGAAGACGUAGUUGAUGAAGGCGUUCUGGAGCAGGACCAGAAAGACCACGACCAAGCAGCCUUGAGAUCUUAGACAGCGUCUCCCUCAGGUCCCUCUCUAUCUCCCCACACAUCCACCAACCACUGGAACACAUCUCCAAAGUUCUGCCAGACCACCUGCCAGAUGAAGGAGCCUUUUGAGAGGCAGCUGGCAUCGUGAUUGGACUGUACUUUGGUCUGUUCCAAUCCAGCUUCAGCUCCAGAGACGGCAGGCGGGACGAGUCAACGGAGGCCGGGUGGACGAAGGCAUGCAGCUGAGUACAAUCCAGAAAACAACAGAGGAGGAGUGCAGCGUCCCAGGGCCAGAACAAACAGAGUAGCAUCGUAUGUCUCUUAGAAAACAUCAUAGUAUAGCCUUUGGAUGAAAAAACGCCAUCAUAUACAUCGUAUAUUGUACAAAUAACAAGUCAAAGGAAAGAGACAUACAUUGUAGAAUUGUAGUAAUUGUGGACUGACUGAUUUACUGAUUAUCAGUAUUUUAUUUUUUACUGAUUUACAGAAAUAAAUACAUUUAAAAAUGGCCCUAUUUUGGCUCUGAACCUUUAUUUGUGGUCGCUCUGUCUUCUGGAGUGAUUUGAUUGGUUAUACAUCACAAAUAAAGCUCCUUUAACUUAACAUCUGUAAACAAAACAAAAACAUAU
ensembl:lncRNA